rnacentral:lncRNA from 1 species
GAACCUAGAAGCACAGAGUUGUUCUUUCCCCAGCGUUUGCAGUUCCUCAGAAUAGCUCUGUUAGGUUUCCUGCUGGAAAAAGAGUGGCCUGCAGUACAAGCGAAUGCCUUCUCAUCUGCUUUUCCUUGCCUUGCUCUGUUCUUGAAAGCCCUGGGAGAAAAUUGUUGUUUUUUUCAUAGUUUUGUUCCAUCUAGUCAAGAUCGAUUUUGGUGCUGAUAAUCGCAACUGAGCAAUCUAUUUUUCGACAGAGAUGUAGCCGCUGCUCCAAAAAAUACAGGGCCAAGACUUGUAACAAAUAUUCAUGAGGGUUUCAGUGUACAUGACAGUGAUCUAAAGGAGAAUUACUGUACCUCUAUUCCAUGAACCAUGGCACAGAGAUGUUUACCCUGCAUCUGCACCACGGAGGUGGAGAUGCUUGGGUGGAAAGGCUGCAGUUUUGUUCAACUUCACCCAUUUUUGAGGUAAAGUACCAUGGAGUGUACCUGAGACUGAGGCACUGUUGCAAUACAAAAUUAUUGUCAGUGUCACAUCGUGUUUGAGAUUAAUUUAGCCAUAGGUCUUGUUGUCUGAAAGAUUUAAGAGUAACAUUUUAAAUGAGAGUCCCAACUAUGUAUUUAAUUUAGAUUUAAUAUGGCAGUUAUUUGUUCUGCUAAUAAAAACCCCAUUGCAUAUUAAAAACA